rnacentral:rRNA from 1 species
GACGAACGCUGGCGGCGUGCCUAAUACAUGCAAGUCGAGCGAACCAAUGGGAGCUUGCUCCCUGAGGUUAGCGGCGGACGGGUGAGUAACACGUGGGUAACCUGCCUGUAAGACUGGAAUAACUUCGGGAAACCGGAGCUAAUACCGGAUAAUUUCUUUUCUCGCAUGAGGAGAGAUGGAAAGAUGGUUUUGCUAUCACUUACAGAUGGACCCGCGGCGCAUGAGCUAGUUGGUGAGGUAACGGCUCACCAAGGCGACGAUGCGUAGCCGACCUGAGAGGGUGAUCGGCCACACUGGGACUGAGACACGGCCCAGACUCCUACGGGAGGCAGCAGUAGGGAAUCUUCCGCAAUGGACGAAAGUCUGACGGAGCAACGCCGCGUGAGCGAAGAAGGCCUUCGGGUCGUAAAGCUCUGUUGUUAGGGAAGAACAAGUAUCGGAGUAACUGCCGGUACCUUGACGGUACCUAACCAGAAAGCCACGGCUAACUACGUGCCAGCCGCCGCCGUAAUAC